rnacentral:rRNA from 1 species
GACGAACGCUGGCGGCGUGCUUAACACAUGCAAGUCGAACGGUAAGGCCCUUCGGGGUACACGAGUGGCGAACGGGCGAGUAACACGUGGGUGAUCUGCCCUGCACUUCGGGAUAAGCCUGGGAAACUGGGUCUAAUACCGGAUAGGACCACUGCCUGCAUGGGUGGUGGUGGAAAGCUUUUGCGGUGUGGGAUGGGCCCGCGGCCUAUCUGCUUGUUGGUGGGGUGAUGGCCUACCAAGGCGACGACGGGUAGCCGGCCUGGGAGGGUGACCGGCCACACUGGGACUGGGAUACGGCCCAGACUCCUACGGGAGGCAGCAGUGGGGAAUAUUGCACAAUGGGCGCAAGCCUGAUGCAGCGACGCCGCGUGAGGGAUGACGGCCUUCGGGUUGUAAACCUCUUUCAGCACCGACGAAGCGCAAGUGACGGUAGGUGCAGAAGAAGGACCGGCCAACUACGUGCCAGCCGCCGCCGUAA